rnacentral:lncRNA from 1 species
AAAGAGUUCAAAUUCAAAUUGAACACUUCAACCUUCAAAGGCUUGAUUCAUUGAAUGGUCAAAUGGAUAAGGUUUUUAAUUCAAGUUGUAUACUCAACUUAUGCAAGUUGGAAAUUAACAAAGACAGCAGCCAUAAAAUGUUCUGGAAUCUGGAAAUUAAAGUAGCAGCUAAUUCAUAUUUCAAUAUUCAAACAAGCGAGCUGGAAUCUGAAAAUAAACAUCAGGCAGCCAUCAUUCAUAUUCUGUCCAGCAAAACACGACUGUAAUUGAAGAGAUAAUAGCUGCAAAUGGAAAAGAAAAACAGCAUUUAUCUGGUUGUAAUUGUAGAAAAUUCUUAGGACUAGUUUACUCAAUGUUUUCUAUAAAUAUGAAGGCACCUAUCUAGUGUCAUGUAUGCAGAAGAAGUGAGGAGAAACCUCUCAAAAUAGAAAGAAGAGUGUGCUGUAGCAACUCCUUUGUAAUCCCCCAAAUUUCAUUAGUAAAAUCUCAUAUUUCUCCAAUCUCUAUCCUUCUACAUCCAACAAAUUUUGGUACAGAGCUUAGGUAAUAUUCAUAAACCCAUUCCUACCAAAUUCCUACCAAAAGCUGAGAUAAAACCAGCCUCAAAAGACCAUAAUACCAGCAGAUUUUUUAACAAAAACAAGGAAAUUUUAGCAACAAAUUCAGCAGCCUCCUUGUUCACUUAUUCACCAAGUCAAGUGCCAAUCUUUGAAGGUGAGCACUAUGAAUAUUGGAGUAGUCAAAUGCAAACUUUUUUCAUCUCUUUAGAUUUAUGGGAAGUCAUUGAAGAUGAUGAGGUGGUAGACGAUUCAACCGAAGGAGAUGAAGAAGAUCCAAAGUUACAAAAGGAAUAUAAAAAGAAAGAUGCAAUGGUGUUGCAAUAUAUUCAACAAGGAGUUGGAAAAUCAAUUUUUCCUCGUAUAUUUGGUGUUAAAAAAGCCAAAGAUGCAUGGAAAAUUUUAAAUCAAGAAUUUCAAGGUUUGGAGAAAACUGUCGCUUUGAAACUUCAAUCUUUAUGGAAAGAUUUUGACAAUCUCAAAAUGAAAGAACGAGAGUCGGUUCGUGAUUUCUCUUCACGAGUUUUGGAGAUUGUAAAUCAAAUCAAAAGUUGUGGAGAUAUAAUUAAAGACAAAAGAGUUGUUGAAAAAGUACUUCGAUGUCUCCCUUCAAAAUUCGAUCAUGUAGCUGCCGCAAUUGAAGAAUCAAAGGAUUUGUCUAAAAUGACCAUGUACGAGUUGAUCGGAUCGCUUCUUGCACAUGAGCAAAGAAUCAAUCGUUCGGCUAGUCAAUCAACCGAACAAGCCUUCCAAUCAAAGCAAGCAUUAAAAAUAACUUCAAGCAAUCAUGGAGGUUCAAACAAUAAAAAGGGAAAGUUUAGCAAGUGGAGUCAAAAUAAAAAGCAAAGCAAUUGGAAAGCCAAGGCACCACAAUAAUCCGGUAAGGCUCAAUCUUGCAUUAUUUGCAAAAAGAACAAUCAUGAAUCAAAAGAUUGCUAUUUUAAAUGCAAAAGAUGCAAGGUACCUAGUCAUUCUCAAAAAGAUUGUUGGUUUCAAAAUAAGGAGAAAAAUGAAGAUGCGGCAAAUUUUUUAAAAAAAAGUGAAGAUGAAAUUCUAUUUUAUUCUCAUCAAAAUGAUGACUUUGAAUCCAAGAAUAAAUGGUAUUUGGAUAGCGGCGCUAGCAAUCACAUGACAGGAAAUAAAGAUACCUUUGUAGAGAUCAAUCCAAAUAUCACUUCUCAAAUUAUUCUCGGAGAUGGAACACAAAGAAGAGCAGAAGGAAAAGGCAUCAUUGCAGUCCAAACUAAGGGAGGUAACAGAGAACUUAUUACUGAUGUUCUUUGUGUGCCAAAUCUUUCAUAUAAUAUCUUAAGUAUUAUACAACUCUUGCAAAAGAAUUUUUCGGUGCACUUUGAUGAUGAAAGAUGCAAGAUCUUUGAUAAAAAGAAAAAUGUCAUAGUGGCAAAUGUUGAAAUGAAAAACAAAACCUUUUGUUUCAUGUUGCCACUAGACAACAAUUGUGCACUCAAAGCUCAAAAUGCAGAUUUGUCACUUCUAUGGCAUUUGCGAUAUGGUCAUUUAAAUGGCAGAGGACUUCAACUGCUCGAGAAGAAAAAUAUGGUGAUCGGACUUCCUGAAAUUCAAAGGACAGACAAAGUGUGUGAAGGUUGCAUCUAUGGAAAAUGCAUAAGCUUCCAUUUCCUAAAACUUCAUGGCGAGCUAAAAUGCCAUUGGAGCUUGUUCAUUCAGAUAUUUGCGGACCAAUGCAAACUCCUACUCCUGGAAAUAAGAGGUAUUUCAUUCUCUUUGUUGAUGAUUACACAAGGAUGAUGUGGAUUUUCUUUUUGAAUCAAAAAUCUGAGACAUUCUCUAUUUUUCUAAAGUUUAAAGCACUUGCAGAAAGACAAAGUGGAUUUCUAAUAAAGAUGUUGAGGACUGAUCGUGGAGGAGAAUUUUCCUACAAUCCCUUUAUUGAAUAUUUCAAAGUUAAUGGCAUUCAAAGGCAGCUAACAGUUAGUAGAAGUCUAUAACAAAAUGGAGUGGCUAAGAGAAAGAAUCGCACUAUUGUCGAAAUGGCAAGAAGCAUGCUAAAAGGUAAAGGAAUUCCAAAUCUUUAUUGGGCAGAAGCUGUAAACACGACAGUAUAUAUUCUCAAUCGUCCGCCUACAAAAGCUGUCAGAAAUAAAACUCCGUUCGAGGCAUGGCACAAAAAGAAGCUAAAGGUAGACCACUUUAAAACUUUUGGUAGCAUUGCCUAUGCCUUCGUUCCAUCACAAAACAGAGAGAGGUUUGAUGAGAAAGGACAGAAACUUCUAUUCAUUGGAUAUAGUGACGAGUCUAAAGGAUAUCGUUUACUAAAUCCCACUCGUCACUAUAUCCAAAGACAAAUAAAAUAACAAUUUCUCGAGAUGUUGUGUUCGAUGAAAGUACAACUUAUGAUUGGAAAGGAAAGCAAGUCAUGGAUUCCAAACCCUAUCAAUUUGAUGAUCCAUCGACAUCUCAAAUCCCCAACACUGAACAGCUUACAGCUCCAAAUAUUCCAACA